rnacentral:rRNA from 1 species
UAACGAUACGGGACUCAUCCGAGGCCCCGUAAUCGGAAUGAGUACACUUUAAAUCCUUUAACGAGGACCCAUUGGAGGGCAAGUCUGGUGCCAGCAGCCGCGGUAAUUCCAGCUCCAAUAGCGUAUAUUAAAGUUGUUGCGGUUAAAAAGCUCGUAGUUGAAUCUGUGUGCCACGCUGUCGGUUCAUCGCUCGCGAUGUUUAACUGAUUGGUUUGUGGGACGUCCUACCGGUGGGCUUAGCCUCUCACGGGGCGCGGUCCAGCUAAUAUCCCAUCGCGGUGCUCUUAAUCGAGUGUCGAGGUGGGCCGGUACGUUUACUUUGAACAAAUUAGAGUGCUCAAAGCAGGCUAUGUUCGCCUGAAUACUCGUGCAUGGAAUAAUGGAAUAGGACCUCGGUUCUAUUUUGUUGGUUUUCGGAACCCCGAGGUAAUGAUUAAUAGGGACAGAUGGGGGCAUUCGUAUUGCGACGUUAGAGGUGAAAUUCUUGGAUCGUCGCAAGACGGACAGAAGCGAAAGCAUUUGCCAAAAAUGUUUUCAUUAAUCAAGAACGAAAGUUAGAGGUUCGAAGGCGAUCAGAUACCGCCCUAGUUCUAACCAUAAACGAUGCCAGCUAGCGAUCCGCCGAAGUUCCUCCGAUGACUCGGCGGGCAGCUUCCGGGAAACCAAAGCUUUUGGGUUCCGGGGGAAGUAUGGUUGCAAAGCUGAAACUUAAAGGAAUUGACGGAAGGGCACCACCAGGAGUGGAGCCUGCGGCUUAAUUUGACUCAACAC